rnacentral:rRNA from 1 species
CUUCAAAAAUGGUCUCAGUUCGGACUGUAGGCUGCAACUCGCCUACACGAAGUUGGAAUUGCUAGUAAUCGUGGAUCAGCAUGCCACGGUGAAUACGUUCCCGGGUCUUGUACACACCGCCCGUCACACCAUGGGAGCUGGUAACACCCGAAGUCAGUAGUCUAACCGCAAGGAGGACGCUGCCGAAGGUGGGAUUAGCGACUGGGGUGAAGUCGUAACAAGGUAAC